rnacentral:tRNA from 1 species
GUCCCGGUAGCUCAGCUGGAUAGAGCAACGGCCUUCUAAGCCGUAGGCCAGAGGUUCGAAUCCUCUCCGGGACG